rnacentral:rRNA from 1 species
AACGAACGCUGGCGGCAUGCCUAACACAUGCAAGUCGAACGAGACCUUCGGGUCUAGUGGCGCACGGGUGCGUAACGCGUGGGAACCUGCCCUUAGGUUCGGAAUAACUCCCCGAAAGGGGUGCUAAUACCGGAUAAUGUCUUCGGACCAAAGAUUUAUCGCCUUUGGAUGGGCCCUCGUUGGAUUAGCUAGUUGGUAGGGUAAAAGCCUACCAAGGCGACGAUCCAUAGCUGGUCUGAGAGGAUGCUCAGCCACACUGGGACUGAGACACGGCCCAGACUCCUACGGGAGGCAGCAGUGGGGAAUAUUGGACAAGGGGCGAAAGCCUGAUCCAGCCAUGCCGCGUGAGUGAUGAAGGCCUUAGGGUUGUAAAGCUCUUUUACCCGGGAUGAUAAUGACAGUACCGGGAGAAUAAGCUCCGGCUAACUACGUG